rnacentral:lncRNA from 1 species
GGGGUGAGAUGCAGCCUCAGUCGCGAGUCGCGCGUAUCGGAGAUGACAUGUACGCGUGCAUCUCUUAUCACGGGUUCAAUUGAGAUAAAGUUAGGCUUAAAUCUUGUUUUAAAGAGUAAUUCAGGAUAUGGUCUUGUGAUAGUGUGAACUGUGAUUUGGUGAUACGCCACUUCUUUGGGUUGGAACCAUGGACGCCAUACACCACCUUCAGACGUUGCAGCUGGGUGUUUCAAUAGCACUGGGUGUUUCGAUAUCAGUAUCUAAGCAGCAUUCCGUAUUUACUGAAAAUGAAUGGCCGGGAUGAUCAGAACCAAUUAUUGGGAAGAUGAAAAAUGAUGAUGAAAAAUUUACACUGUAUAAUUAUAUUACGGAGAUCUGUAUAGUAGCACAAAUACACAAUAUCUACCAAAGAAGAUUAAGUAAGCUUCUCUCCAAAAGAAGAUUCGAGGCUAAGGAAGUAUACAAAAUUCUUCUAUUUUCAGAAUUUAAGGACAUUCGAAUUAGGAACUCCAAAGUACCGGAUCACAGCGAGGCAUACCGUGGCCCUAAACACAUAUUAUGUCUAAUCAAAACUUCUCUGAAAAUGUCUUGCACAUGGGUUUUCGCACGUCGUUUAGAAGGCAAUCCUGUCAAACAGAAAAACCAUCGAAAUAGCUGAAUACCUUCAACUGGCCGACUGAUUUCCUUGGAAAAUCACCCUUGGUCUCCAUUGCUUACAGACCCACGUGGCCGCUGCCUCGACGCUUCGCUGCGACCUUCCGCGCUGUGCCACAGCGGCGUUUGGAGUCGUUUGCAGUUGGGUAUUUCGAGCACAUUAUGGCGAAUGGGAGAAGACCCUGAGGUAGGAGUUCAAUUCGCUGGACAGACCAAAUGAGCUCCACGUUAAACAGCAGGCUGUGACACCAUCCACGCCGCCGAAGAUAGGACAAGAUGGCGAAAGAUAGUCCAGGAGAAACUGAUUCAUCGAGGUCUAGACCCUCAGCACUGAGAGCAGUAGACACAAGGAGGAUAUCUGUGCAGUAUUAACUGUUAGGUGCAGUAUUACCCAGUAUCAUGUCUGCCUCACUGUGAUGGUCAUACGUCGUUUCAACAGGGACAUAAGCUUUGUACCUUCACCUCCAUUAUUGACCAUCCUGGGCACAUCGACAUCACGUCUAUUGGUUAAAAUAAGGCAAUAAUUUUGAAAUGUAUAAUCUGCAUGCAAAUAUUUGAGGAAAACAGAAUAAUCUAUAAAUCUUUAUUUGGUUCACAUUAAUGAUCCCUAACUUAAUUAGACUCCAGCUACUGUAGAGGUACCAACUUAUAAAUCAGUUACAAAAGUCAGACCUACAGUGUCUUAUAUUUGUCAUAUAUUUUCUUUUUGUAAUAAACGUCAUUAUGUUA